AGACCGGUAGUAUGCUGUCUGAUAUCAAAAUGAAUAGUGAUUUUUCCUUUGCUGUGUAGUACCAUAGAGAAUCACUAUGCUAUUUGAUCCAUUUUGAAGGUGAAAAGGGUUUCAACCAUGGUUGCCAAUCAUUGUAGAUGA